AAGCGUGGGGAUCAAACAGGAUAGAUACCCUGGUGAGUCCACGCGUAAACGAUGAGUGCAAAGUGAAAGGGGGUUUCCGCCCCUAAGUGCUGCAGCAAACGCAUUAAGCACUCCGCCUGGGGAGUACGACCGAAGGUGAAACUCAAAGGAAUGACGGGGACCCGCACAAGCGGUGGAGCAUGUGGUUUAAUUCGAAGCAACGCGAAGAACCUUACCAAAUCUGGACAUCCUUUGACCGCUCUAGAGAUAGAGUCUUCCCCUUCGGGGGACAAAGUGACAGGUGGUGCAUGGUGUGUCAGCUCGUGUCGUGAGAUGUUGGGUUAAGUCCCGCAACGAGCGCAACCCUUAAGCUUAGUUGCCAUCAUUAAGUUGGGCACUCUAAGUUGACUGCCGGUGACAAACCGGAGGAAGGUGGGGAUGACGGUCAAAUCAU
rnacentral:rRNA from 1 species